rnacentral:rRNA from 1 species
UACGUAGGGGGCAAGCGUUGUCCGGAAUCAUUGGGCGUAAAGAGCGCGUAGGCGGCCCUGUAAGUCCGCUGUGAAAGUCAAGGGCUCAACCCUUGGAUGCCGGUGGAUACUGCAGGGCUAGAGUCCGGAAGAGGCGAGUGGAAUUCCUGGUGUAGCGGUGAAAUGUGUAGAGAUCGGGAGGAACACCGGUGGCGAAGGCAGCCCCCUGGGCCAACACUGACGCUCAGGCACGAAAGCGUGGGGAGCAAACAGG